rnacentral:rRNA from 1 species
GACGGAGGAUGCAAGCGUUAUCCGGAAUGAUUGGGCGUAAAGCGUCCGCAGGUGGCAGUUCAAGUCUGCUGUCAAAGACCGGGGCUUAACUUCGGAAAGGCAGUGGAAACUGAACAGCUAGAGUAUGGUAGGGGCAGAGGGAAUUCCUGGUGUAGCGGUGAAAUGCGUAGAGAUCGGGAGGAACAUCCGUGGCGAAGGCGACUACCUGGACCAGCACUGACACUGAGGCACGAAAGCGUGGGGAGCAAACAGGAUUAGAUACCCUUGUAGCCACGACG